UCUAUGCCAUGUUGAUGCCAUUGGUGUCU
rnacentral:piRNA from 1 species